CAGCCGUAAACUAUGCGCGUUAGGUGUAUCGGUGACCACGAGUUACCGAGGUGCCGAAGGGAAACCGUGAAACGUGCCGCCUGGGAAGUACGGUCGCAGGGCUGAAACUUAAAGGAAUUGGCGGGGGAGCACCACAACAGGUGGAGCCUGCGGUUUAAUUGGACUCAACGCCGGGAAGCUCACCGGAUAGGACAGCAGAAUGAUUGCCGGGCUGAAGACUCUGCAUGACUAGCUGAGAGGAGGUGCAUGGCGUAGACGUCU
rnacentral:rRNA from 1 species